AAAAAAAGAAAAAAAGAAAUCAGGCUGGAAUCAAUCAUCUAAGUGAACAGUGUUGGCACUAUUAUAUUGGGAUUGCUGUUAAUCUACCAAAUAAAGUGCAGAUUUUUGCUUUGGUUACCCUCUAUAUACAUUUUUUCAGACUUGUUAAAUUUUUCUUGGUGCGGAUCUUGGUUAAUGAUGGCAGCUAGGGUAACCCUUCUUGCUGAAGCACCAUGUAGGAUUAGUCCGUUUUGGUUGGUGAAAGAUCAUUCUUUUUGACAUGUUUAAUAUUGGCAAUUCUGGAUGUAGUAAAAAAAAAUGAUGUCCACCUGUAUGGAUCAUGCCUGUAUUUCCUUGAUAAGCGCAUUUAUGUUGUGAUAUCUACCACUAACUCUUCCUAGAGUCUGCAAUGAAGGAAUCUUCUUGCAUUGUGAUACAUGUAGUGAUAUCCAUCAUUAUUUGGAAAAUGCUUCUUUAUGGUGCAAUGUACUUGCUGCAAUUGACUGGGCUGAAACUUAG
rnacentral:misc_RNA from 1 species